rnacentral:rRNA from 1 species
UGAGGAAUAUUGGGCAAUGCCCGCAAGGGUGACCCAGCAACGCCGCGUGGAGGAUGAAUGUCGUAAGAUUGUAAACUCCUGUUAGAGGGGAAGAAUAGUACCGGUUGGACCGGUGUAUGACUGUACCCUCAGAGAAAGCCCCGGCUAACUACGUGCCAGCAGCCGCGGUAAUACGUAGGGGGCAAGCGUUGUCCGGAUUUACUGGGUGUAAAGGGCGCGCAGGCGGGAUAAAAAGUCAGUUGUGAAAUCCUACAGCUUAACUGUAGAACUGCCUUGGAUACUUUUAGUCUUGAGUUCGGGAGAGAGGGACGGAAUUCCAGGUGUAGUGGUGAAAUACGUAGAUAUCUGGAAGAACACCAGUUGCGAAGGCGGUCUCUUGGUCCGACACUGACGCUGAGGCGCGAAAGCGUGGGGAGCAAACA